AUGGAAAGCGAGAACAGAACAGUGAUAAGAGAAUUCAUCCUCCUUCGUUUGACCCAGUUUCGAGAUAUUUAGCUCCUGGUCUUUGUGCUAGUUUUAAUAUUCUACUUCUUCAUCCUCCCUGGAAAUUUUCUCAUUAUUUUCACCAUAAGGUCAGACCCUGGGCUCACAGCCCCCCUCUAUUUAUUUCUGGGCAACUUGGCCUUCCUGGAUGCAUCCUACUCCUUCAUUGUGGCUCCCAAGAUGUUGGUGGACUUCCUCUCUGAGAAGAAGGUAAUCUCCUACAGAGGCUGCAUCACUCAGCUCUUUUUCUUGCACUUCCUUGGAGGAGGGGAGGGAUUACUCCUUGUUGUGAUGGCCUUUGACCGCUACAUCACCAUCUGCCUGCCUCUGCAGUAUUCAACUGUCAUGAACUCUAGAGCCUGCUAUGCAAUGAUGUUGGCUCUGUGGCUUGGGGGUUUUGUCCACUCCAUUAUCCAGGUGGUCCUCAUCAUCCGCUUGCCUUUUUGUGGCCCAAACCAGCUGGACAACUUCUUCUGUGAUGUCCGACAGGUCAUCAAGCUGGCUUGCACCGACAUGUUUGUGGUGGAGCUUCUGAUGGUCUUCAAUAGUGGCCUGAUGACACUCAUGUGCUUUCUGGGACUUCUGGCCUCCUAUGCAGUCAUUCUUUGUCGCAUACGAGCGUCUUCUUCUGAGGCAAAAAACAAGGCCAUGUCCACAUGCACCACCCAUAUCAUUGUUAUAUUCUUCAUGUUUGGACCUGGCAUCUUCAUCUACACGUGCCCCUUCAGGGCUUUCCCAGCCGACAAGGUGGUUUCUCUCUUCCACACAGUGAUUCUUCCUUUGUUGAAUCCUGUCAUUUAUACCCUUCAUAACCAGGAAGUGAAAGCUUCCAUGAAAAAGGUGUUUAAUAAACACAUAGCCUGAAAAAGGGCAAAAA